rnacentral:lncRNA from 1 species
CUCUUGUGGACAGUUGUCUCAUUGGCAAUCAUACCACAUCUUCUCUUUUAUAUUUGCUAAUUGUUGAAGUCUGUAUCUGCUACCUAUAUAUAGCUGUUAAUUGUUCUGUCAUUUGGUCUUUUGGUCCUUUGUGGAGAGUUGUCUCAUUGGCAAUCAUACCACAUCUUUUACUUUUGUACAUCUGCAUUUAAGGUAUGAAUAUACACCUGGUGUUCAGUGGUUUUAGUUUGUUGAUGUGGUCCAUAAGUGAUUCUCGUUUUUUUUUUUAAUAUAGAUUGGUUUUACACUAGUCAAAAGUGA